rnacentral:rRNA from 1 species
GUCCAGACUCCUACGGGAGGCAGCAGUGGGGGAUAUUGCACAAUGGGGGAAACCCUGAUGCAGCGACGCCGCGUGGGCGAAGAAGUAUUUCGGUAUGUAAAGCCCUAUCAGCAGGGAAGAAGAAAUGACGGUACCUGAGUAAGAAGCACCGGCUAAAUACGUGCCAGCAGCCGCGGUAAUACGUAGGGGGCAAGCGUUAUCCGGAUUUACUGGGUGUAAAGGGAGCGUAGACGGCUAGUCAAGUCAGAAGUGAAAGCCCAGGGCUCAACCUUGGGACUGCUUUUGAAACUGAGUAGCUAGAGUGCAGGAGAGGUAAGCGGAAUUCCUAGUGUAGCGGUGAAAUGCGUAGAUAUUAGGAGGAACACCAGUGGCGAAGGCGGCUUACUGGACUGUAACUGACGUUGAGGCUCGAAAGCGUGGGGAGCAAACAGGAUUAGAUACCCCGGUACCA